rnacentral:rRNA from 1 species
AUUGAACGCUGGCGGCAUGCCUUACACAUGCAAGUCGAACGGUGACAGGUCUUCGGAUGCUGACGAGUGGCGAACGGGUGAGUAAUACAUCGGAACGUGCCUAGUAGUGGGGGAUAACUACUCGAAAGAGUGGCUAAUACCGCAUGAGAUCUACGGAUGAAAGCAGGGGAUCGCAAGACCUUGUGCUACUAGAGCGGCCGAUGGCAGAUUAGGUAGUUGGUGGGAUAAAAGCUUACCAAGCCGACGAUCUGUAGCUGGUCUGAGAGGACGAUCAGCCACACUGGGGCUGAGACACGGCCCAGACUCCUGCGGGAGGCAGCAGUGGGGAAUUUUGGACAAUGGGCGAAAGCCUGAUCCAGCAAUGCCGCGUGCAGGAUGAAGGCCUUCGGGUUGUAAACUGCCUUUGUAUGGAACGAAAAGCCCUGGGUUAAUACCCUGGGUCAUGACGGUACCGUAAGAAUAAGCACCGGCUAACUACGUGCCAGCCGCCGCCGUAA